rnacentral:rRNA from 1 species
UACGUAGGUGGCAAGCGUUGUCCGGAUUUACUGGGUUUAAAGGGUGCGUAGGUGGGUAGGUAAGUCAGCGGUGAAAUCCCCGAGCUUAACUUGGGAACUGCCAUUGAUACUAUCUGUCUUGAAUACCUUGGAGGUGAGCGGAAUAUGUCAUGUAGCGGUGAAAUGCUUAGAUAUGACAUAGAACACCAAUUGCGAAGGCAGCUCACUACACGGUCAUUGACACUGAGGCACGAAAGCGUGGGGAUCAAACAGG